ACGUAGGGGCCAAGCGUUGUCCGGAAUCAUUGGGCGUAAAGAGCUCGUAGGCGGUUCGGUAAGUCGGGUGUGAAAUCUCCACGCUCAACGUGGAGGGGCCACUCGAUACUGCCGUGACUAGAGUCCAGUAGGGGAGUGUGGAAUUCCCGGUGUAGCGGUGAAAUGCGCAGAUAUCGGGAGGAACACCAGCGGCGAAGGCGGCACUCUGGGCUGGUACUGACGCUGAGGAGCGAAAGCGUGGGGAGCGAACAGGA
rnacentral:rRNA from 1 species